AUUGAACGCUGGCGGCAGGCCUAACACAUGCAAGUCGAGCGGAUGAAGGGAGCUUGCUCCUGGAUUCAGCGGCGGACGGGUGAGUAAUGCCUAGGAAUCUGCCUGGUAGUGGGGGAUAACGUCCGGAAACGGGCGCUAAUACCGCAUACGUCCUGAGGGAGAAAGUGGGGGAUCUUCGGACCUCACGCUAUCAGAUGAGCCUAGGUCGGAUUAGCUAGUUGGUGGGGUAAAGGCCUACCAAGGCGACGAUCCGUAACUGGUCUGAGAGGAUGAUCAGUCACACUGGAACUGAGACACGGUCCAGACUCCUACGGGAGGCAGCAGUGGGGAAUAUUGGACAAUGGGCGAAAGCCUGAUCCAGCCAUGCCGCGUGUGUGAAGAAGGUCUUCGGAUUGUAAAGCACUUUAAGUUGGGAGGAAGGGCAGUAGGUUAAUACCUUGCUGUUUUGACGCUACCAACAGAAUAAGCACCGGCUAACUUCGUG
rnacentral:rRNA from 1 species